rnacentral:lncRNA from 1 species
CACAUGUGCCCGCCUCGCCCGGCAGCCACCACCGCGGGGCGCAGCGGAGACCCCUGGCCCGGCGGCCUGUGGGGACCUAAAGAGGCGGCAUGAGCAGCGCACCGUGGAGCUGACGCCGCGCCCCCUGCCCGGCCCAUGUCCUUCGCCAUGCUGCGUUCAGCGCCACCGCCGGGCCGCUACCUGUACCCUGAGGUGAGCCCGCUGUCCGAGGAUGAGGACCGCGGAAGCGAGAGCUCGGGCUCCGACGAAAAACCCUGUCGUGUUCAUGCUGCGCGCUGCGGCCUCCAGGGCGCCCGGCGGCGGGCAGGAGGACGGAGGGCCGCGGGUAGUGGGCCAGGACCCGGGGGGCGGCCAGGCCGCGAGCCCCGGCAGCGGCACACAGCGAAUGCGCGCGAGCGGGACCGCACCAACAGCGUGAACACGGCCUUCACUGCGCUGCGCACACUCAUCCCGACCGAGCCAGCAGAUCGCAAGCUCUCCAAGAUUGAGACGCUGCGCCUGGCCUCCAGCUACAUUUCUCACCUGGGCAACGUGCUACUGGUGGGUGAAGCCUGCGGUGACGGGCAGCCCUGCCACUCGGGACCCGCUUUCUUCCACAGCGGUCGUGCGGGCAGCCCACUACCACCGCCACCGCCGCCGCCCCCACUACCACUGGCCAGAGACGGCGGCGAGAACACCCAGCCCAAACAGAUCUGCACCUUCUGCCUCAGCAACCAGAGAAAGUUGGUGAGCAGGGCUGGGAGCACCGAGGGGCCCAAAUGUACUCACCAGCCCACACCUGCCAGGCAGAGAGAGGUGCAGGGCAGGGGCAGCAUUCCCUAGCAUCUACACCUGCCACCAAAGCUGCCCCCGAAGGAGGGAAGGGCACAUAGGAGCCAUAACUUGGGACACAGACUCCCAUUGGUAGUGGUCAUAGGGACCUGCAAAUAUAGGAUCAAGAAGUAACGCUGAGAAGGGCCACCCAGAAGUUCUGGGAGGGAGGGCAGGCAGCAGGAACCUGGCAGGGCUGAGGGGCCUUACUUUUAGGCUUUACUUUCCAUCAAAUUGAGAACUGAAAGGAGGUGAAUUCAAGAAGUAUAUCCAUAAGCCCCAUCCAAAGAGGGAUAAUGUGAAGCAGUGAGGCAAUCAAAUGGAAUUCCCUCACUAGGGCUGAUGAGCCACUACCCUCCACCCCUGCAGCCCACCUCCACCCCGAGGCUUAUGGGCACCUGCUGCCUCUCCCCUGGUCUACUGAGACCUGCAGUAGAUGGGCUGGGGAGAAGGCUGAACUGAGAUGCUGGCCAGCCAUGAUUUACUGCUCUGGCCGCACUUGGUGGCACCGGAAAAGCAGGGUGAGCAGGGAAAAAAUACAACGGCUUUCCCCAAUCCCCAUUUCCUCUCCAGACAGCACGCGCAAGCUCCUGGGGCCUGAACAUCUGGGAAAUUUAAUUUUACAGUUUCGGCUGUGCUGCAGUAUACCGCCCUCCCCAAAAUCACUGUGGGGGUGGCAGGAGCCCGGGAUGGGGGUGCCCUAGCACAGACAGUGCCAACAGGAAGCCAGGAAGUUUCGGGCAGUGCUGGGUGACACUAAGUCUCCACCCAGACCCUGACACACCCCCAUCCCCUCUGCAGAGCAAAGACCGUGACAGAAAGACGGCGAUUCGAAGUUAGAAGGAGGAGGGUCCACAGCAGCCAAGAGGUGAUGCCACUAGUGAAGGUGGAAGCCACUGAAGAGUCAUGGAGAGCCCCACCUUGGACCUGAUCUGAGCACAGGUCCCCAAGAGCGCGCUCACCAGGCCAGACCUGCCCCAGCUCUGAGCAGGGCCUGUGAACAGAGAGAUGGACAGGCGGGCUAUGGCUUGACUCUAAGUAGCUGAACACUUGUACCCAGGCCCACUGGAACUUUCCAUGCUGGCUCUCUACCUGGGCCAAGUGUUGGCAUCUUGUGUCUUUAAUAUGAUAAUAUAAAGUCUGGAAAUUUUGUAUAAUUAAAGUGAAACAGUAUCUUCCAAA